rnacentral:miRNA from 1 species
CGACUCGAACCGAAGCGGAUC